rnacentral:rRNA from 1 species
CCAGUUCGGACUGGAGUCUGCAACCCGACUCCACGAAGUUGGAUUCGCUAGUAAUCGCGCAUCAGCCAUGGCGCGGUGAAUACGUUCCCGGGCCUUGUACACACCGCCCGUCAAGCCAUGGGAGCCGGGGGCGCCUGAAGUCCGGGGACCGCGAGGACCGGCCUAGGGCGAAACUGGUAACUGGGGCUAAGUCGUAACAAGGUACC